GGCGCCCUGCCGGUGCUGUGUGCGGCUGCCGCCAUUUCGCGAGAGCCGCCCCAUGCCUGCUUCGGGCAGCGCCGGCAGCCUGGGCGCACCGGGCGUAGCGUGUGGCUGCAGAGCGGCGCUGGGGAAAGGCCCUCGCUCCCACUCGAGUUCAGAAUUCACUCUCUGUGGUUUUGCGGUUCUUUACAAAGCCCUUUGGUAAAGCGGCAGGGAUCCCAAGGUGCAAGGCACAAAAUCGUUCUUCCACCGCCCUCAGCGGCUGCGGGAGAGAGCUGAGCACCAGUCACAGAAACGCGGAAUUGGGGAUGUUGGAAAGACCUCUAAGAUCACCAAGUCCAACCGCAGCCCAUCCCCACCGUGCCCACUGCCCCUCAGUGCCACAUCCCCACGGCUCUGGGACACCUCCAGGGGCGGUGACCCCACCACUCCCUGGGCAGCUGUGCCACUGCCUCACCGCUCCUUGGGAGAAGGAAUUGUUCCUAACAGCCAACCUGAACCUCCCCUGGCACAGCAUCAGGCCAUCCCCUCUUCUCCUUGCCCAAAGGAGCUGAUGUGAAAUGGGGAUGGAGUUUGUGAUGGAAAUAAUUAGUCACGGGGUCUGAUAGCAGAUUGUGUGGCUGCCUAAGAAGCUUAUUGAAAAUAAUAAUGCUUGUCAGUGAGACAGGGCUUGGCGGUGCCUGGUCCUGCCGUUGGCCUCUGUGGGUGCUGGAUAAAGCUGCGACGAAUGUGUGAUAACAAGCAGUGCUGAUAGCUGUUAUCUCCAGCUGUCUCCUAAAUAUAAUUGUUAAUUGAAUUUACCCUCAAGAAUUACAUCGUGACCAUUGAACAGCUGCAAGCUCAUUAGAUAUAAAGCAACUGACAAGGGCAAAUCCUAUUUUCUAGUCUUUACACUCAAACUAGCCCUGUAAAUACAAGAAAAAAAUGGUUAACUAAAUGCUGAAAAAUACCACGAGGAGAAGAAAUGCAACCAAAAAUCUGUGUGCAAUAAAGCCAGGAUGCUCAGGUAUCCUCCCCUCAUGGGGAGUGCAUUUAUACCAUACUGUCACUGUGUGGGCCAGGAGCUGGACUUGAUGAUCCUCAUGACUCCCUUCCUACUCAAGAUGUUCUCUGUUUCUCUGAUUCUGCACGCCUUUUCUACCACCCACUAGUUUUAUUUCCACCCCAGUGCAGCAGGAAAUGAUCCAGCGUGUGAUCCAUACAUCGGUUUGAACCUCCAUUUACAGCCAUCACAGAACAGUCAGCACAAGUGCUGUAACUUUCUUCUGCAGAGAAGUACCAGCAAAGCAGCAUUGUGUGAGUAAGUUUUACCCAGGCACAUAAAGGAGAGUCUAUGCUAUUUCGUACCUCUACCAUCAAGUAUAUUUCUUGUAACACCUUGGGAAAGUGGAAGUCUCUAAUCACUUGAGGUGAAUCGAAUAACAUUUUUUCAAAGCUUUGGUGAAAGCAAUUGUUCUGAGUUAUGGGAUGAGACCAGGAUGACAUACUUUGCUAUUUCCCCUACUACCAACAGCCAAACAUUUCAAACAGGUAUUGCCAAAAACAAGAGAAUUUUGCUUUUUCUCAUUUGCCCACACCUACGUUUUUAAUAGAAGAAAGGCGGUGAUUUUGCGUUGCACACUCAGUACUUUCCCAGUGCCUUUCCAUUCCUAGAAGAGUUUGUAUCACAUGUUCUUGUGGAUUAUUUCUGCCAGCUUUUACGUUACUACCAAGCAGUUUGGACUAUCAUUUUUACUUUUAUCUGGGUGUUAUUUCUUGCCAUCUUUUGCAGAAGCAUUAAAAUCACUUUCUGUUGCCUCCUAUCUACCAUUUGUAAAGAAUUUAUAUGUGAAUUUCUGCCCUUUCUGGCUCAAGAUACAAAUAAAUUUGACUUCUGUCAAAUUUGUGCGCACAGUCUGUCACAUUUCCUGUUUUGCUGGUUGUAUGGGAACUGUAGAAUCACGGCCUGAACCUCUGAUUGACCACCUGAGGCGAGUGCUGAGUCAGCUGCAGGGGCACAGAUGAACGCAAUUUCACCUGAGUGUCCGGAAGUGGUGGUCCGGCCUGGCUCCACCCCUCCCAGACCUCAUUUAAGGGCUGACUCCCAAGGAGGAAGGAUCUCUAUCUGGAGAUCACCCUUCUUGGAGCCCUUCUGCAAGCCCAGGAUAUGGUGUACUGGCAUUCUGCUGUUUAAAAGGAAAAAAAUGAGAUGUGUUGCCAAGUGAGUCUAUGCUGUUUGGAAAAGAAUUUGAAUAGAAAAGGGAAUUGAGUCAUAGAAUCACCAAGGCUGGAAAAAAACUCCAAGAUCAUCCAGUCCAACCCUCCACCUACCACCAACAUUUCCCCACUAAGUCACGUCCCUAUGUCCCUCAGUACAUCUACACAGCUCUGGAACAUCUCCAGGACUGUGACUCCAUCACCUCCCUGGGCAGCACUUUCCAGCAUCUGAACACUCUUUUGGAGAAGAAACUGUUCCUAAUCAACCUGAAUCUCCCUUGAGGCAACCUGAGGCUGUAACUGGAGGCCAACUGUGGAGUGUUUAAAGCGUUUAUGUGGGCACCUGUACAAUUUGUAAAAUUUUAUUACACAGUCAAGGCUGACUCAAUACAGGCAACAUUGCUAUCUUUCACCUUCUAUUCUUGGUGGUUCUGUUUAUGAGUCUUGGCAGUAAAAUUCAUCUUCAAUGGUAUUGAUUCAUAAGAUAUUAUUUGACCUCUCUUUAACAGCUAAAGUUAGUGGGUUACUGUUCUUACAAGGAGUGCCGUCUGUACAAACACAGGACCGAAAUUAUCCCUGGCAAAAUCAUUUAUGGCAGAAUUGAUGUUCCCUCUCCACCUCCUGUUCCCUUUAGUUGCCUUAUUGCCUAAGAUUUGGAAUGCAAAAUUGUCUUAAAUCCACACAUGAGAAUUUAGCUUUGACAGUCUGUUCCAUCUACAUAUCUGAAGCUCCUGAAGAUAUCCCUGGAAACUGUUGUAGCUGUAGGGAGACAAAGUAAUAGACUUGAGCCUCCUUAUAGGAACCUCCUGCUGAUUUCUUUCCAAAUUAUUUGUAGCUAUUUGAAAUGAAUAAUAAUUCCUCUGAAAUGAAAUAAAUGCAGCCAACUCUGGAAUAAAAGGCAUUAGUGUUUUCUUUCUUCCCCCUCUUGAGGGGCUGAAACAUGGAUUUUUCUGCCUCACUGUUUUUGCCAAACCAAAGCCAGGGACAGAAGAGCAUUGAAUGACAGCAAACUUGCAAAGGUCUGUUCUACAGAUUCUGCUAUUGUAGGAAGUCAGGGUAACAGUCCCUCAGCAGCCAUCAGUCUCUUGCAUAGAAACUGCACAUUAAGGACUUGGCAGUUUCAAACAGCUACUCCAUGUUUGGAUCUGCAGCAGACCUCUCAAACAGCUACUCCAGAACUGCAGCAGACCCUACCCCCCUUUUUUUUUUCCAGUGGUAAAUGCAUGUGUUACAUCUUUGUCAGCAGUUCUCAAUUCUCUAGCUUGUCUAUUCAGUUCUCCCCUUCUGGUCGUCUUCCACUUCUUAGGUUAUCACAAUCAUAACUACAUAGAAACUUUCUGGGCAGGAUUUAUCUUUCAAAAUGGGAACAAAUCAUUAAAUUUUAACUUGCUUUAUAUAAUCCUAACUUCAGGAAUAGUCCAAUUCAGUGGGUCACCACAUACAGUGUGCUUCUUGGCAUUAGAAAAUUACAUGUAAAUAUGUAUUUAGAAAAGCCUUCAAAGCCCUUUUGGAUAUGACUGAUGGGUCAAACCUGUGAACAAUUACUCCUUCCUCAUCCUACAACAUCUACAUUCUCUCCUCUUUCUAAUUAGUCAUUAGCUAAAGCGUGAAGGUCUUGUAUGUUAUUCUGAUUAAGAGAAGAAAUUUGGCAAUAUCUAUUAAAAAGAAAAAGUCUACAGUCUAUUUUCCCAGCCUAGGAUAAAUCAAACAACAGCCAAAGUCCUUGUUUGGAUUUUCAAACCUGUUGAAAAAGUUGAGGCCAAAAAAAACCAAAAUAAAGUUGUUUAUCAUGGCUGUAUCUCACGUGGUUGUUAAGGUUUUAACUUUUUCAGUGGAUUGCUUGCUCACUGUUUCAGUGUGGAGUAGCAAUAUUUAGAUAUUUAUGAAUUAUGGAAAAGGCAAGCACAUUCAAACAUUCCCUUAAGCAACCAAUCCUUUCCCUCCUGCUAAAGGAUUGUCCAUAGUUUGCUUCUGGCUGCAUGGUUUUAUGCAUUGGAUCUGCACGGUAGACUUUGGCACAUUUCUAAAUGUGCUUAGCAGCAGCUUCUGUCACAGGGCAUCAUGAAGCCAUCCAGCAGAUUAACAAACCUUGGAGGGGAUGACAAGAAACAAGUGAAGAGCGAUUUAGCAUUCAUUUAGCCCAACGUAGCAAAUUGCUUACGCUUAUAUCCCAAAAUGUGUUGGGCAUGACUGUGGCAAUGCGGGUCCCAUUGACUGACUAAAGCUAGGAUUCAGGAAAUUCUAAACUGAUGGGGUUUAUUGUGUGCAGUGUCCCACUAAGAGGAGAUCAAGGUGAAACUGGCUGCAAGUUAAUAAUUAUAACUGUUAAAAAAAAAAAAAAAAGCCAUUUGGAAUAGAAGGAAUGCAUUCUAAUUAAGGAACACAAGAGGAGAAGCUCCAGGGAGAGGACGAAGUUGCUUUUGCUGCAUUUCUGUGUUGUAACCUAAAGGCUAAGCCUGGUGGAAAACUGAGCCAUAUUUAGUGUAAAACCAGAAUCUGCCCCUCUGCUGGACAAAGUACCAAGAACUGGCUGAAAAAUAAGGGCGCUUAAAAGACUCAAGUGAGAAAGAGGAGAAUCUGUCUUGAACAAUACCUUGUAAUCUCAGCAGAGAGCUCCACCAGACAGUGCAGGAGAUGUUAGCUGUUAUUUCCUCAGGCAUGUAGCGAUACCGCUAUCUACAACACCCAUGUGUUUUCCUUUUCAGUAACACUGCAGGAGAUGAACACAGAAUCUGAUUUAUACCUCCUUGGCUUUGGCAAAUGCAUGCUAAAAAUACUGUAGCCGUGCCAUGAAUUAAUCUGAUGACCCCAAAAUCUGAUGAGACACAGUUGGAAAAAUGGUUGUCCUUAGAGAUUUGAGCCCUGCUUGAGUGGGAAGGAUGGAGCAAGGGGUUGGUCAUCAGUACUUGGAACAGUACCAUGAGGCUCCAAAAUUAAAAUAAACUGGCUCAGUCACUCUGGUUGUCCCCAUUUCUGAAAAGCAAGCAUUUUGAAAUGGGAUGUUGGAAGGAAAGGCAAUUUCGGGUGGUGUUAGGGGUGCCAGGGCUGUUACCAAGUCAGCAUCGCUUUCAGAUCCCAACAGAGCUUACAACAGCUUGUUGUGCUUCAGGUGCCAAGCAAAACACUUCUGCUACAUCAGCUCCAGCACUUAGACUGCAGCCACAAGAAUGGCCAUAGAGCUGAGACUGCCAUCCCUGUGUAUCGACUGUUAUCACAUUGCUGCACAAAGCAUUGUAGAGGCAGCACCCAGGUCUCCAGGAGCCAUUCAGGGAGUGGUUGGUGCUGUCAAAGUUGCUCUGCUCAAUAUCUUCCUUAAGCCAAAACCUUUCAUGUUAAUCUCUUGUUGUUUUUCUUCAUUGGAUUCCCAGGCUCCAUGCCAUUUUCUCUCUCCAGCCCACACAAAUAAAUCUUUUUCCAGGAAAGUUUUUAGUUUCAUUAAAAUUGAUUUCAGUCAGUGUUUGCUGUAGAAAUCUGUAAGAAGAGCUUCAGAAAUCUGCAAGAACAGCUUCCUGUGCCAAGACUAAAACUUAAAACUGAAGACAGAACCGGGUGUGCAUGAUAUUUUACACCCCUCUGUGCGCUCUCCAUUUUCUUCAGCUCAUGGAAGGCAGACAUUCUGAGUCACAGGCUGUAUCGCUGUGUUUAAUAGCAUGACAUGGGUUUCUCAUCUCCUUAUUCAUCUGCUUUUUAAGCUCAUUUUUUGUGGUGUUUGUUUGUUUUGAGAUGAGGAAUAGCUAGAAUAAGAUAUUUGGUACAGCCAGAGUUGUGCAGCAACCUGCACUGUUUUGGUCUAUUGACACUUCUGUUAACAUACCUCACUUCAGUGUUUUUUGGGACAGACCCGAGCAUCACACUCAUCUCAAACUGUCUGCAGUAACUGCAGAACCAGUCUGGAAUCAUAAAUGGUUCAUUCAGAAACCACCACUGUGUUUCAUUGUUUGGUGUAGUUUUGUUCUGCAAAAUACUGUGUUUAAUAACACAACUUAAGCUGUCUUAAACGUUCAGUCAUUUACUUUGAGAUGCUUCUGUAGCUCUUUGCUGUUGCACUUACUUUUAAUCCCCAGAGCUAUCUGAAGCCAUUAGCAAGCUAACAGGUGAUUUCCUUUUUUUUCCUGACUAUUGGAGAAUAGUUUGUACAAGUUCUAUCACAAAUCCACUUUGAAUUUCCUUGGCAAUUUUUUGACAAGUUUCUCUUCCCCUUAUGUUUGCUCCUUCAGUUAUUGAUCUACCAGAAGUCUUUUUAAAACCUUGUGGAAGCUUGCUUAAGCAAAGGAUUUUGUCAGAAGCUUUUUAAAAAUCCAGAAACACCACAUCAACCAGAUCCACGCUUCUCCAAAUACCCACUGACUUCUCAGAAGUGUUCAAGUAGACCUGAAACAUGAAUUCUGGCUAAAAAAAAUACAUAUAUGAAUUCCUCUCCUUGUAUCAAGACAAAAACAAGUAUUUCUACUAGGCUGGAUAGGGAAGGCAGCAUCUAGACAGUGUGAAAAUGGAUGGAAAUCGAGGUCUGGCAACAGUGACCUUUCUAGCAAUGCAGCAAAACCGUUCAGUAAUGACGAAAGAGGACAAAAACCCCAAAUUAUGAUGUCUGUUUUGUAACUUUUGGCAAACACGAGGUCUUGCCUCGUGGUCUAGACCGCGUGAGAUGUGCUUCUGGAUCUUCAGCACACCUUCUAGAAGCAAAAGAAUCUUCCUCCCAGGAGAUGCAGAUUUUUGCCAGUUUAACUCCAAGCUGUUUUUGAAACACACUCCCCUCACCUGGUUGGAAUUGGCCAGCAGAUUAAGUGCUUCAUAUCCAAAAAACAAAGUUAUCAUCAAUAUAGCAAGACUUGAUUGAAAUAUCUGAUGACAAAUGCUUCACGAACACAUUUCAAGGUUCUGAAGUACUAAUUAGGCCUUCUUUUUGCUGCUUUUGAGAAGAAAUAGUGGGCUAACGCAGUUAAUGAGCAUUAAUCAAAUAGUUUCACAGUGCUGCAAAAUGUAAUAGCUGUCAACCCACCUCCAUUAUACACUGUUCCCUUACCAACCCACACUUUCGUGCUUUCUUUGAUCUUUUCCAGAGCCCCAAAUCCUCCACAGAGUCUGACAUCAUUGUUCUAAUGGCUGUGGGAAGGGUAAUGUUUAAACUUCCUUUUGUUCAAUGGGAAUAAAUAACUAACUGUUUUAAAUGACCGCAUCUCCCCCUCCAUGCAUUGCACAAGAAAGGAAAAUGUUAUAACCAUUGGCAUCAUAUCGGCCACUGUUUCACACAAAUUUUAACGCGCUUCCUUAUGCCUGGGUACUUCUUAAAUGGAAUGUGAGACCGAUCUCCUCCUGCUUUGCUAUUGAGCCAUAAAACUAAGACUGCUAAUGUGCUCUUUUCAAACACUAAGAGGAAAGCCUGGGCUCACCCCCUUCUCCCAGUCAAUUCCCUCUACCUUUCUGAGUACACUGAUGUCCAGUAAAACUUCAAAAAGCAUGAAGUUUUAAAUUAAAUGAUUCAAGAAGUACGGAGGUCACACAGACAGUGCUAAAAAAAAACAGCUUGCAAAGUUGGAGAACUUUAAUGAUCUACUUAUGCACAGUGUUCUUUCAGAAUAAUGUUGCUUUUGUGCGUUUGUUCGUUCAGGAUCCUAUCUAAUUUGCAUUAAGCUCCUAGGUCUCGGAUUCAUGAUAUUAAAAUGUUAUGGUUAAGUUGUUCCUUGGUUCAUACAUUGCUUCUAAAUUCAAAUCAUACUUAGCUUCUGAAAUGAAAUGAUAUCCAAUGACUUUAAAUGUUGGUAGGCAUUAUAGUAGGUGAGUGUUUAGAUUUGACCAUGGAGCCAAUGAUUAUUUGAUAAACAGACUUACGAACAGCAAAAAAUAUGCAGCUGUGCUUUCUGUUUUGAUGGAGGAAUUUGAGAACAGCUUUCAAGAUUGCUGAAAAAAAUCAUCAAUUCUUUGGAAUAUUUGUGACUCCUCCAUUUUCACUUGAUAUAAAUAAAUUUCCUGCAAAUUUUCGAAUAGAAUAAUCUGAAUUGCAGUCAGAGAUUCAACUCAAAAAUCUGAUCAUGUCUCUUUAAUAGACCCUCAUAAUCUCUAUCUAACCAGAAAAAUCUAUCCUUUGCUUCGCAGUCACACCUCAUUCAUAGAAUCAUAUCACAGAAUCAUAGAAUGGCCUGGGUUGAAAAGGACCACAAUGCUCAUCUAGUUUCAACCCCCUGCUACGUGCAGGGUUGCCAACCAGCAGCCCAGGCUG